UUCUAUCUACUUACACAUGGAAAGUUGCUUCAUCUGCUCCAUAACAUUGGGGAACACCAGAGACCUUCCAUUAACAGUGCAUCUCAGCUGGACACACUUGCUGUUUUACCUCUACUCAUGUCUAAAUGCUCCAGGUAUAUAUCUGGUUAUUUCCAGUUAUUCCCAGAGCCCUGGCCUUUCUCCUGGGCAGGACAGACUAUUUGGGGCCACCUGCUAAGCUGAGGCUAAAAGUUCUAACCAGGAAUUCAGAUGGUGCAAGCAUCAUGAGUCAAAAAUCAGUCAACAAAAAUCAAUCCCUCCCUCCCUCUUAUAAGCUGGUCACUGGUAGUUAUGGGGGUCCUCAAGAUGGGGCUGGACAAUGCCUUUACUGGGUGGUGGGAUGGCCAGUCCAAAAAAGGAACAGUGGCAGUGCCAUCCACCAAGUGAUGCUAAAAUCAGGUCUCCUCCUCUGGGCAAAGAACACAGCUUAGAGGAACAUCCUGUCUUCAAGACGGGAGGUGUAGUUGUCUGACCAGCUGCAAAGUACUGCCUAUUAAUGUCAAAUGUAGUCUAAUCCUAAUGUCACUCCUGCAUAUUGGAGGGGAAGCAACGCUUACUGAGCAUCCACUCGAUCGUCUCUUCCACCUUGGAAGAUGGGUGCAUCACUUGCCUUUUAUCAAUGAGGAAGCGGCUUCAGAGAGGUGAAACGACCUGCUCCGGGACACAUAGUUCCAAGCAGCAGAGCCGGGACUCAGUCCAGUGGGAUGCUCACCUUACUGCCCCCCACCUCUCCCCAGCCCGUCUGAGGACCAGCAUCUUGAAAAUAUGGGAACGAUAAUCAUCACCUUCACUAACAAACCUCACAUUUGUUGAGCGCUUACCGUAGGUCAGGCAUUUUUCCUAAGUGUUUUCUUGGUAUUAUCUCAUUUAAUGCUUGCAACCACCCCAUGCUACUUCCAUUGUCAUUGUUUUAUGAUGAGACACUUGGGUCACAGAGUGGGUUAAGUAACUUGCCCAGGGUCCCAAGGAUGGUACUUGGGCUUCAUCCCCAGGUGCGGUAGCUCCAGAGACCCUGCUGAAACCAACUGGGACUUCCUAGGGACUUGUAGCCAUAUCUGGUGGCUUCUCAUAGUACACGUACCAUAUUUCCCAAGUUGGUUCCCAGUCCAUGUCAGUGUCCACCCAAUGGCCUGGCUGCCCUUGCCACAUCUUCCUUCCUCCUCCUAAGAUUGACUGUACCCUGGUAAGGCAGCUGGCCCUCUGGCAGGCUGACCUGCUCUUUUCCAGGUUGUGGCAGAGCAGGUGAUCCCAGUUUGCCAUCUGACAUGGGCCUUUGGCACCCAGCUUCUAUGUUCCAGAGACAGUAACCUGCUGUGCCGUGCUCUUCUUGAGCUUUAAUAAGAUCCUUAUGGAAAGGGCCUGACCCAAAAACCAGGAGACCUAGGAGACCCUUUAGCCCAGUCCUCUAACACUUAGAGGCUGGGAGCCUCCAAGAAGCAGAAGGACAGUACAAGGUUACAGGAAUCAGACAGGAGACCACAAGGAGAUGUAAUUAACCGCGUUCAGCCUUUGCUGGGUGGCAGCCGAGAGGAAAAACCGUAACAGGGGUGUAGCUGCCUUACUUUUGGUGAGCCCAAGAGGGAGAAACUGGCAUUAGCUAGUAUUCACCCGGCUUGCUAAGAGGCACUGGAACAUAGAAGAGAUAAACUUUGAUGUGAGUGCAUCAGAGAGACCGAGGAGGAAUUUCAGUAUCAGCCCAAGGUACAGGGUGCUCUCUCGGAGGGCCAAGCUUCUGGCUAGAGUGGGCUUAGGAUAAGCAACAAAAUGAAAGAGAUCUCCCAAACAUUGACCUUGGCACUCAAAAGGAAAAUAAUAAUAAAGACAAGUAUUAAACCAUUUCCAGUGUAUUUUCAUCCGAAACGUGUUGAUAUAAAAUGGCUAAGAAUGCCACAUAAUUUUUAGUUUUUUUUUUUCUCAUAGGAGUUUUAAAUACUUAGAUUCAGAUAGUCAAGUUCACAUAAAUAAAACAUUCUUUAUAAAAAACUGAACAAUACAACCAUCAUUACAUGGGCCUGGCAGAAAGAAAGCUCUAUUCAGUUCUCAGAGUGACCUUAGCCUAGAGCGUCUUGGGCUUAAUUUAGAUUAUUGGUUUGUCCUAGUCUGUCUCCCUCCUUUACCCCCAAGAGCACUCUGGCAUUUCAUGAGCAUGUACCAACUGGACGAUUUCUUUCUUUGUAAGAAAACACCAGAAGAAGUAAUAGGAAUGAACAGAAUGCAAUGUGUUCUCCAGACCAGUGGUUCUCAAACCCGAGCAGGAAAAAGUAUGUGAGAAGUGCAAAGAAUAUAUUUAAGAUGCAAUUCUAAUUCAGAUAGUUACUAAAAUCACAAAUCCUUCCUAGUCCAAAAGAACUCAGGGAUGCUGAUUUUCCUCUUAAGUGGGGAGGGGAGAGGCACAGCCGGCCAUAAGCUGGUCAUAUGGGUGUCUAUCAGGAUAUUCUGGAUGAUAAUUAGAAGAAAGCCCACCACCUGUGGGAAGGAGAGCUGGGUUUCAGGGCUGGAGAGAUAGUGUGGUCCCAAGGCAGGGCCCUGGCACACUCUUUCCCAAUGCCAGGGCACUGGCCCCAUCUUCCGUGUAAUCCAGCAGAUGUUUCUAGAAAUGUCUAGAACCAUGAAAGUGUUCGUGCAGAAGGAGGUGCUUCCUGGACCGUGUUCUGCACAAAGGAAGGCAACCUCUGUGAUCAGGGUAUUCCUGAGCCCCGCAGAGACAGGAGCCGCCUUUCUGAAAACUUUGGCCAGAGAUCCAGGGGUGGGCUCAUUUCCUGUCCUGAGCACAGUGUUAGAAGCCACUCGGACAGAUGCACAGAGAACUGAAACAGGCCAGGGGAGACCAGGGAGUGAGCCUGGAUACUCCCACUCCCUGCUGGGAGACCCGCCGAGCUGUAACUACCUGCCAACCUGCCAUGCCGGGAAAGCCCGGCUCCAGAGUCUCCUAGGGCAGGUCCUCUGGGAGACCGCGCGUGUGUUUGGCACUAACCGGGCACCGGCGGGCAGUGCUGAUGGGCUCGUGGGCUUGACUUUGUUCCGACUUCCAUUUUUGAUUCUGCCAAAUACCUGUGCUGCCCUGAAAGUAGCCACCUUCUCAGGGACCCAGCCUGAGCCAAGCUGAAUGGCCGGAAGGGCCUCAGGGCACUGUCCGCUCCCACAGCUUCUCUCGAAGCAGCCACUGCCCUUUGGGGUUCUCUGUCUCGUGGUAGUCCUCCCCCGGAGACACCAGGGACUCCAGGCCAAAGAGCUCCGCAUCCCAUUCCGUGUCUUCUCCUGAGAAGUUGAGGAGGAUCUGUCUGGGGCUCCCCAGGCUGGAAGGGAGGAAUGAGGCAGAGGGUUUAAGUCUGGCUUGGCCGGCUGCACAGAGAAGGCAUGCUCUGAUCCACUAUUCCAACGGAGACCAUCAGACGCCCCCCAGGGCUGGGCCUUGUGGCGGACAAAGCGGUAUCAUCAUGGGGGCUGGACCCCAGACUGGCCUUGAAGGGGAAGGACGGAUGAUUGGAUGAUGAGCCCUGGUUUCAGUACGUCCGUUACAUAGUCCAUUGUUAUGGGCAGAAAGUGCUAUUUAGAAAAGCUCUGAAUCCAUCAGAGUUGAAUGGCUCUUGUACAAACCCGAACCCAGAUAGACCCCCUUCUGCUGUGAAAGGUGAGGUCCCUGCAGCAUGGGCGGCAGUGGCCAGAGCAAGAGAGCACUGACCGCUCCAAAUGAGUAGGUCACAGGAAUUUGGAGGCUAAACAUGGGAACUCGUCUCGGGAGAGUUGGAUCUGGAGGGAAAGAGGCCGAGAGAUGGUGGCGAAGCAGCCAGGGGGAGCCGGCCUGCAAGAAGUUCUCCAGCUAAGUCAGGUCAAUGCCUUUCCAAGGCAGGGGCGUCCGGUUAGUCUGGUGUUGGUUCCCUCUUGGCGCUUUGCCCUUCUCAACCCCAAACUCCCAUAAAAAAUUCGUAGCACACAGGGUGUCCAUGGCCCUGGGGGGCGACAGUGAAAGAGGGUGGCACAAAGCAUGGGCCAGGUAGGCCAGAGGCAAGGCCGGCAGAUCCAGAGCUGAAGUCACAGGGAGGAGACAGCAGUGAACCAGGCUGGAGUUUACGUAUAGACUAGGGGAAAAUAUCUUUUAAUACUCUUAACGUUUAUUUAUUUUUGAGUGAGAGAGAGCGCACGAGUGGAGAAAGGGUAGAGAGAGAAGGGGACAGAGAACACGAAGCGGGCUCUAUGCUGACAACAUAAUGCGGGGCUCGAACUCACGAACCGUGAGAUCAUGACCCGAGCUGAAGUUGGACGCUCAACCGACUGAGCCACCCAGGCAGCCCUAGCGGGGAAAAAAAAGAUCUUUAGCCAAGAUCUCCUUCCCCCAAAAUCUGUAAGAAUAAUUUUUGGUAUAUAGGACAGGGACUCAAGGCACCUGAAGCACCACCCCAGGAGUCUGGAGGACAUGAAAACGUCUUAGUUAUACCAUUUGGUCCAAGCACUUACUCUUUUUUGCAGGCUUUGGGCUUAAAUUUCAAGGUGUUGAAUGCCCCUUCCACAGCCUUGGGCAAGUAAAUGGGGUGCCUCUCGAGCCUCCUCUGAGUGCCGAAGGUCCUGCGCUCCACGCUCCUUCGAAACUGGCUAUCUGUCACGUGCACGGUGUGCCCAGCAAUGUCCUCAGAGUGCCGGCGUGGCGCCCGCAGGAUCCAGUUGGAAUGCAAGCUGUGCUCCCGGGAGCUGGUGGCCACUGGAAGAGACAAGCAGGGGCCCGGGAAGGAGCAAGAGAGGGUGAACCAGGCUGAGAACCCACAACAAAUGCCUAUAUUACAACAGCAGAUUCUUAGAAAGGCUGGGAAAGGCAAGUGAGAGGGGGAUGAUCUGACCCUGUAAUGAUAGGGUAGGGAUAUGGUGGGAUAUUUAUGUGUCCAUUAAAAAUAAAGACAUACAUCUAUGUUUACUGA